CAUUAACUGUUAUUAGUGCUUAGACUAAAUUGUCUCGUUUAAUCUUGUUCAAAUGUUAGUUCCCAAUUAUGAACUGAAUGUUGAGUUUUGAGCUUUUGGGUUUAUUUUCUUCAGCCUUCUAUAUUUCAAGUCUAUUGACGUAUAUAUAUUGUCUAAUAUGCGUGUUUCUAUUGUUAUUUUGAAAUUGUUAAGGGUCUGUUUGGAACUGGUGAGUAAAGGGUAGGUAAUGGAAGGGUAACUGAGGGAAGGUUAAGGAGGGUUACAAUCAAAGAAAAUUUCAUGUUGGGAAAGUGGUGAAUUAAUGGAAAGGUAAACAGAGGUCAUGCAUAUUUUUUGUGUUUGGAAAGAAUUGGAGGAAGGAUAAACUUAAAGAAGGGUAAGAGAGGGUAAGGCUUACCUUUAUUUAUCCCUCUUUCACCCUCAUCCAGUCAAAUCCUAAAAUUCAGUUGAGACUUGAGAUCUAGCUUUUACUUGGGUCUUAGAGUUGGUUUUCAGAAUUUAUAUUUAAAUUCACUAUAGAGUUUUAUUAGCUGGGGAUUAGGUGUUCUACUUCUAGAUUACUUCCUUUACUUUUAAUGAUAUUUUUGAGAAUCAAGCGAGGAAAAGAGGUGGGGGGAGGAUUGGAUAUGGUUGAAAAUUUCAAGUUUCCAGUAUUUGUAUAUCUUAGUCGACAUUGCCUAAAAGAUCUAGUUUUUAGGCUUGCCUAGUUUGUAGCUCAAUGAAGUUUUCCUCAUUUUUCAUUUUGUUUAUUUUUUUUCACCUGCAAAGUUCUUUUUCUUUUUUGUUUUAAUUCAGGAUAGUAAUUGAAAACAAAGAAUAAGAGCUCUUUUAUAUAGCACAGGCCAAUAUGCAAAUUGUUCCUAGAGAGGGUGAUAAUGCUUUGUCUGUCUCUGGUCCAAGGCCAAUGGAAUGGUCUACUGUUCCUUACACUGGGCCACAAGGACCUGGGCCAAAUGGAAAGCAACGGACAUCAAGCUUGGAGUCACCGAUCAUGUUACUCACUGGUCAUCAGAGUGCUGUAUAUACAAUGAAGUUCAAUCCAGCUGGAAAUGUCAUUGCAUCUGGAUCACAUGACAGAGAGAUUUUUCUAUGGUAUGUGCAUGGAGAGUGCAAAAAUUUCAUGGUUUUGAAAGGGCACAAAAAUGCAGUUCUGGAUCUUCACUGGACCACUGACGGAUACCAGAUAAUAUCAGCAAGCCCAGAUAAAACUGUCAGAGCAUGGGAUAUUGAGACAGGGAAACAGAUUAAGAAAAUGGCAGAGCACUCAUCUUUUGUAAAUUCAUGCUGUCCUUCACGGAGGGGGCCGCCACUUGUUGUCAGUGGAUCUGAUGAUGGAACUGCAAAACUUUGGGACAUGCGGCAGAGGGGCGCAAUCCAAACAUUUCCAGAUAAAUACCAAAUCACAGCAGUCAGUUUUUCUGAUGCAUCAGAUAAGAUCUUCACAGGUGGUAUAGACAAUGAUGUUAAGGUUUGGGACCUGCGCAAAGGUGAAGUAACCAUGAAACUUGAAGGCCAUCAAGACAUGAUAACUGGCAUGCAGUUGAGUCCCGAUGGCUCAUAUCUUCUUACUAAUGGUAUGGAUUGCAAGCUCUGCAUUUGGGAUAUGCGUCCUUAUGCACCACAGAAUCGCUGUGUUAAGGUACUGGAAGGGCACCAACACAACUUUGAAAAGAACUUGUUGAAAUGUAGCUGGUCACCUGAUGGAAGCAAGGUUACUGCUGGUAGUUCAGAUCGGAUGGUCUAUAUAUGGGACACAACUUCUCGACGCAUACUGUAUAAACUCCCUGGCCACGCUGGGUCUGUCAAUGAGUGUGUCUUCCACCCUACUGAGCCUAUUGUUGGAUCUUGCAGUAGUGAUAAACAGAUUUAUCUUGGGGAGAUCUGAUUACCAUGUUAUCAAUAUGCGAAAAUGAAUAAACUUCAGAAGUGAGAAUAUUUUGGAGGCCUAUGUGACGGUACCCUGCAAAUUUGUUGAAUAGAAUGUAUUCGUGCUGUAGUUUUUUUUUUGGCUGAGUUUGACUUCUUAGCUGAUAAUGCUAUUUGAUUUGCUUAAAGUAGCUCAAGUACUCUUACCUGGCGCCGAAAUGUCAAAUUCUUAAGGUUGGUAUUUGCUUCUUGGUGGAAUUGUGCUACUGAAAUCUUUGUUUGUAAGAAUUAAAAUAAACUAUUUCUAAGUCAAUUGCUAUUGCAAAACAUGAUCAAAUUUGCAUCUGUAUACUUGUGCAUUGGACUUUCUGUAUGGAAUAGCUUUAGUUAAUCACUGGCAGGUUCUCAGUAGGUGAUGGUUCAAAGGAAACGUUGUAAGAAGCAGCUUUUUUAGCUUUAGUAUAAUUCAGUUUGAUCUGUUGAAUGCGGAAUGAUGCCAGAGUUUGUUUCUGUGGUCUUCUCAGACAGCGAGGCAAGCUAUGGUUGUCAUUCCUGAUGCUUGAAGCUAGGCCUAACCACUGUGCGAUCAGGAUCAUGAAUUGGUCCGGUCAAAUUGGUCUUGGAACUGGGUAUUGCCAGAACCGUUACCAAGAGGGGCCUAAUCUACUCCCCUCCCAACCAUUGAAUCGGAUCGGACUGAAACCGCCAAUUAAGAGACGGAAUUUCUGGAUGAAUUAAUUUUAGGUGUUGUUAAUUUGCGAAUUGUAAUUUGUUGUAAUUUUC
rnacentral:misc_RNA from 1 species